AUGAACGCUGGCGGCGUGCCUAAUACCUGCAAGUCGAGCGAACGGACGAGAAGCUUGCUUCUCUGAUGUUAGCGGCGGACGGGUGAGUAACACGUGGAUAACCUACCUAUAAGACUGGGAUAACUUCGGGAAACCGUAGCUAAUACCGGAUAAUAUUUUGAACCGCAUGGUUCAAAAGUGAAAGACGGUCUUGCUGUCACUUAUAGAUGGAUCCGCGCUGCAUUAGCUAGUUGGUAAGGUAACGGCUUACCAAGGCAACGAUGCAUAGCCGACCUGAGAGGGUGAUCGGCCACACUGGAACUGAGACACGGUCCAGACUCCUACGGGAGGCAGCGGUAGGGAAUCUUCCGCAAUGGGCGAAAGCCUGACGGAGCAACGCCGCGUGAGUGAUGAAGGUCUUCGGAUCGUAAAACUCUGUUAUUAGGGAAGAACAUAUGUGUAAGUAACUGUGCACAUCUUGACGGUACCUAAUCAGAAAGCCACGGCUAACUACGUG
rnacentral:rRNA from 1 species